GACCUGGUGGUGAAUGGUUCACACCCACCCUCCUUUCAAGUUCGCAGUCCAUGCAGUAAAUGUGAGGUGGGAGAGCCGGUUCGAUUCCGGGCUAGGUCA